rnacentral:rRNA from 1 species
UACAGAGGGGCAAGCGUUGUUCGGAAUUACUGGGCGUAAAGGGCGCGUAGGCGGCCUUCUAAGUCGAACGUGAAAUCCCCGGGCUCAACCCGGGAACUGCGUCCGAUACUGGAAGGCUUGAAUCCGGGAGAGGGAUGCGGAAUUCCAGGUGUAGCGGUGAAAUGCGUAGAUAUCUGGAGGAACACCGGUGGCGAAGGCGGCAUCCUGGACCGGUAUUGACGCUGAGGCGCGAAAGCCAGGGGAGCAAACGGG